rfam:Lepisosteus oculatus linkage group LG8, whole genome shotgun sequence.
GUGGGUUAUGGGGACAUGUACCCUGUUACAAUUGGGGGUAAAAUCGUGGGGUCGCUGUGUGCCAUUGCCGGAGUGCUGACGAUUGCAUUGCCCGUGCCUGUAAUUGUGUCCAAC